rnacentral:rRNA from 1 species
CAGUAGCCACGGUAAUACGUAGGGUGCAAGCGUUAAUCGGAAUUACUGGGCGUAAAGCGUGCGCAGGCGGUUAUAUAAGUCAGUUGUGAAAUCCCUGGGCUCAACCUGGGAACUGCUUCUGAGACUGAACGACUAGAGUACGGUAGAGGGUGGUGGAAUUUCCGGUGUAGCGGUGAAAUGCGUAGAUAUCGGAAGGAACAUCAAUGGCGAAGGCAGCCACCUGGGCCUGUACUGACACUGAGACACGAAAGCGUGGGGAUCAAACAGGAUUAGAUACCCCCGUAGUCCCUGUCUCUUAUAC